rnacentral:tRNA from 1 species
AUUUAUAUAGUUUAAGAUAAAACAUUAUAUUUUCAAUAUAAAAAUAAAAAUUUAUUUUUUAUAAAUA